ensembl:lncRNA
GGAAAUAUUUGUUAUUUUCACCGGGUCGGACCCCCUUUUGCCUCCAGAACAGGCUACAUUUUUUGGGGCAUGGUAACAUUGCUCAGUUGAAAUCAUUCCCCACACCAUUACACCACCAACAGCCUGUACUGUUGACACCAGGCAGAUUGGGACCAUGGACUACUGCUACUUACGCCAAAUCCUGACUCUGCCAUCAGCAUGAUGCAACAUGAACCCGGAUUUGUCAGACCAGGCAAUGUUUCUCCGCUCCUCAAUUGUCCAGUGUUGGUGAUGGCGUGCCUACUGGAGCCGCUUCUUCUUGUUUUUCACUGAUAGGAGUGGAACCCGGUGUGGUCGUGACAGACUGACGAGUUGUGGGUUCCGAGAUGCCAUUCUGCACACCACUGUUGUACUGCAUCGUUAUUAGCCUGUUUGUGGCUCGCCUGUUUGUGGCUCGCCUGUUAGUUUGCACGAUUCUUGCCAUUCUCCUUUGACCUCUCAUCAAGGAGCUGUUUUUACCCACAGGACUGCCGCUGGCAGAAUGUAUUUUGUUUGUAGCACCAUUCUCAGUGAACCCUGGACAUGCGUGAAAAGCCCAGGAGGCCGGCCAAUGCUGAGAUACUGGAACCAGCACGCCUGGCACCGACAAUCAUACCACGCUCAAAGUCAAAGGUCACUCAUUUUGUCCAUUCUAGCGUUCAAUCAAACAGUAACUAAAUACCUUGAUGCCUGUCUGCCUGCUUUAUAUAACAAGCCACGUGACUCACUCUCUGUAGGAGUGAACCAUUUUCGUGAACGGGGUACCUAAUAAACUGUCCACUUGGUGUAUAUGUGUGUGUGCUUGCACGUGUGUGUGAGUGUGUGUGUUUGCAUAUGUGUGUGUAUGCAAGAGAGAGAGAAGCUGAUAGGAUAAAGGCCUAUACAGCCAGUAUAGCCAAGCCCUAAGCCUCCUCUAAUUAAGAGCUUUUCGUAUUAUCAAACUCAUCAUGAAUAUUAGUGUUACUUCCUACUAACCCACCACAUGGCAUUUACAUUCAAUAGUUAGACUGAAAGUCACUCUCAUUGCGUGAAGAGUAGGAGAAUGUUGGAGAGCGAGAGCAGGGAGGGGAAAGAGAGAGAGGGAGGUAGCAAGAUACAAGAGAGUGCGCGAGCGCGAGAGAAAGGGAGGUAGGGACAGAGAAGAGAGAAAGGGAGGUAGGUAGGGACAGAGAAGAGAGAAAGGGAGGUAUGGACAGAGAAGAGAGAAAGGGAGGUAGGGACAGAGAAGAGAGAAAGGUAUGUACGGACAGAGAAGAGAGAAAGGGAGGUACGGACAGAGAAGAGAGAAAGGGAAGUACGGACAGAGAAGAGAGAAAGGAGGUAGGGACAGAGAAGAGAGAAAGGGAGGUAGGGACAGAGAAGAGAGAAAGGGAGGUAUGGACAUAGAAGAGAGAAAGGGAGGUAGGGACAGAGAAGAGAGAAAGGGAGGUAUGGACAGAGAAGAGAGAAAGGGAGGUAGGGACAGAGAAGAGAGAAAGGGAGGUAUGGACAGAGAAGAGAGAAAGGGAGGUAUGGACAGAGAAGAGAGAAAGGGAGGUAGGGACAGAGAAGAGAGAAAGGGAGGUAAGGACAGAGAAGAGAGAAAGGGAGGUAGGGACAGAGAAGAGAGAAAGGGAGGUAUGGACAGAGAAGAGAGAAAGGGAG